rnacentral:misc_RNA from 1 species
UUUCCGUAGGUGAACCUGCGGAAGGAUCAUUACAGUGCCUGCGGGACGCCGGACAACCCCCGACGCUCCCGCACCCGGCCACCCGUGUCUACCUUACCUCAGUUGCUUCGGCGGGCCCGUCCACCCCCCACCGCGGGGGGGACCGCCGGGGAGCGUACCCACGCACCCCUGGCCCGCGCCCGCCGAGGGACCCAUUGAACUCCUGCGAAGAUAGUGUCGUCUGAGUGAUUUUUGAAUCAAACAAAACUUUCAACAACGGAUCUCUUGGUUCCG